GACGAACGCUGGCGGCGUGCUUAACACAUGCAAGUCGAACGGAAAGGCCCUUCGGGGUACUCGAGUGGCGAACGGGUGAGUAACACGUGGGUGAUCUGCCCUGCACUUUGGGAUAAGCCUGGGAAACUGGGUCUAGUACCGAAUAGGACCACGCGCCUCAUGGUGUGUGGUGGAAAGCUUUUGCGGUGUGGGAUGGGCCCGCGGCCUAUCAGCUUGUUGGUGGGGUAAUGGCCUACCAAGGCGACGACGGGUAGCCGGCCUGAGAGGGUGACCGGCCACACUGGGACUGAGAUACGGCCCAGACUCCUACGGGAGGCAGCAGUGGGGAAUAUUGCACAAUGGGCGCAAGCCUGAUGCAGCGACGCCGCGUGAGGGAUGACGGCCUUCGGGUUGUAAACCUCUUUCAAUAGGGACGAAGCGCAAGUGACGGUACCUAUAGAAGAAGCACCGGCCAACUACGUG
rnacentral:rRNA from 1 species